rnacentral:rRNA from 1 species
GACGAACGCUGGCGGCGUGCUUAACACAUGCAAGUCGAACGGAAAGGCCCUGCUUUUGUGGGGUGCUCGAGUGGCGAACGGGUGAGUAACACGUGAGUAACCUGCCCUUGACUUUGGGAUAACUUCAGGAAACUGGGGCUAAUACCGGAUAGGAGCUCCUGCUGCAUGGUGGGGGUUGGAAAGUUUCGGCGGUUGGGGAUGGACUCGCGGCUUAUCAGCUUGUUGGUGGGGUAGUGGCUUACCAAGGCUUUGACGGGUAGCCGGCCUGAGAGGGUGACCGGGCACAUUGGGACUGAGAUACGGCCCAGACUCCUACGGGAGGCAGCAGUCGGGAAUAUUGCACAAUGGGGUGAAGCCUGAUGCAGCAACGCCGCGUGCGGGAUGACGGCCUUCGGGUUGUAAACCGCUUUCGCCUGUGACGAAGCGUGAGUGACGGUAAUGGGUAAAGAAGCACCGGCUAACUACGUG